rnacentral:rRNA from 1 species
GACAGAGGAUGCAAGCGUUAUCCGGAAUGAUUGGGCGUAAAGGGCUCGUAGGCGGUCCGUCACGUCGGGAGUGAAAUCCUGGGGCUUAACCCCAGAACUGCUUCCGAUACGGGCAGACUAGAGGUAGGUAGGGGAGAAUGGAAUUCCUGGUGUAGCGGUGGAAUGCGCAGAUAUCAGGAGGAACACCAGUGGCGAAGGCGGUUCUCUGGGCCUUACCUGACGCUGAGGAGCGAAAGCGUGGGGAGCAAACAGG